UGCUCUCUUAUUUCUUCCUUAUAAUUUUGUAAGCUUUCUCUCUCCUCCAUUGCUAUUAGAUUUUUUUUUUUCUGCUUAAUGUUAUCAUAUGCCUUCUGCAAGCAGAUCUACCCUCUUACUUUUUUUUUUUCUGUUAAUCUGAUGUGAACCUGAGAAACCAGGUUCUUGAUAAAAGCUUAGAGGAGGAGGAGGGAGGAAAAAGAAGAUGUUUGUGAUGAUGAUAAUGAUGAUGGUGAUGCUGAUGGUGUUGAUGACCAUGAUGAUGCUGAUAAUGAAGGUAAUGAUGACAUCGAUGACGAAGAAAAUGAACACGGCUCACCAAUAGAAUGAAUUGUGCCCUAUUCUGAUUCAGUAGCUUUGACACUUAAGCUUAUUAAAUAGUUGGGAAAUCACUAUAAA